rnacentral:snRNA from 1 species
GUUGAAACACUGUAAGCUAA